rnacentral:lncRNA from 1 species
ACGAGUUGGGGCCUUGUUUGUUUCAUUUAAAGUGAAGUUCAGGUUGAAGCAAACAUUCAGAUGAAAUAGAGUUUUGGUGGAAAUUACUUCUCUUCCAUUGUUUAUUUGUAUAGUUGUGAAAUUAAAGUUCUUUAAUUCUGCUGUUUAUUUGGUAGAAAUUAAAUAAUGUAAAAGUUAGAAGUGUGAGAGAUAUUAAUAUAUAUUUUUUUUUCUCAUUUUCUUUCUUGGUAAUUGACUUCGGCCUAGGUUGGGCAUGGGCGAAAGUCAAUUACAGUAUUGUAGGGAGUAAGUGUCGAUCAAAGGUAAAGCUACGGUGAAUUAAGUAACAAAAGUGGACAUUAAAAUUAUUUCAUCCCUCUUCAUUUUUGACAACCCUCUUCAUUUUUGACAAAACAAACACUCUUUUACUGAUUUAAAGGUGCUCUUUUCAAUCUACUGUCUGAUUGUACAAACAGUAGUAGACCACUUCAAUGUUGAAGAUAAGAUUAAAUUGUUAGGUAGUUUUUGAAGGUAGGGAUUCAAAGAAGGUCAUAAGCAUAUUUAUUAUAAAUCUUGGCAGUUUCUUUAUCGUCCUAUAUCUGCUGAAUCAAAGAUCUGCUUUAUGUCAACAAAGCUCUUAUCAUGAAGAUGGGUUGGCUCAUGCUCUCUAAACCUUCUACUCUUUUGGGCUCAAAUCACUAAAGCUAAAUUUUUUAGCUCGAAAUCUUUUUGGUCAGCAACAAAACCGAAGACCGCUGCAAAUCUUUGGCGGGCUCUUUGUAAUAUGAAAGAUAAGUUGAGAGCAGGGUGCUCAUGGUAAAUUGCUGAUGGCACUUCUAUUCUUAUAAAGGAAGAUCCCUGGAUCUCUUCAACUCCAUCUCUUUCUAAUACUCGGUUACCAGAAAAUACUUUUAAAGUUAGUGAUCUAAUCAGUACUGGCCAAUGGGAUAUUGUUAAACUGCAUUCAAUUUUCGAGCCCUUUUUAACGAGCGUAAUUAUUCGGAUAAAACUCACAAUGUACGCAACCGAAAGACGAGAUAAACUUAUCUAGAAAUUUUCUGAUGCAUGAAGUUUUACUACUAAAUCUGCUUACAAUUUUCUUGCAGGCUAUAUCGAUAGGCCUUCUUCUUCUUAAACUCAUGACAUUACAAGGGAGAUGGAAUGCAUCUAGAAAUUGUUGGGAACCGGAUGGAUCAUCCGUCAUGCACUACCAACAAAGAUGCACGAAAAAUAGAGAAAACACCGAACGAACGGUAAAAGAAAUAAAUGCAGAAAGAAGAAACCAAGAUUUACUUGGUUCGGCAAUUGCCUACGUCCACGAAAAGAGCGAAAGAGAUGUAUUCCACUAUGGGGCUGUUUGGUUUGAUGUAGUUGCAGAAACAGUGUAGUUGGAAAUACAUGCAGUUGCAAAUGCUGCAGUUGUAACUACACCUAGUCUGUUUGGUUUUACGCAGUUGCAACUGCUGCAGUUACAUUUCUUCUGUUUGGUAAUAUGAAGCUGAUAGUUGUAUUUGUGAAUUUUGUCACCUUUUCAGAUAGAGUGGUGAGAUUACCUUCACUAAACAUAAAAUAAUUGUAUAAGUUUAUUAAUCNGAAAUUAGGCUCGCUCGAGCUCGGCUCGAAUUAAUUUCAAUCCAAGCUUGAGCUUAAAUUUAGGCUCGAAAUUAAUUUCAAGCCGAAUUUGAGCCGAGGUAAGCUCGCUCGAGCUCGGCUCGUUUCCACCCCUACGUGAUCCUGUAUCGAACUUGAGCUCAAUUUUCAAGCCUCCUAAAUCUAGCUUGUUUACUAAUGGUUUUGAUGGUGAUCUUACUUUCUAGAUCUGCCUUUUGCAAAUGUAAAAGAAUUUAAAUAUGAUUUCCUUCCACAACGAGUAGGGGCCUUGUUUGUUUCAUUUAAAGUGAAGUUCAGGUUGAAGGAAACAUUCAGAUGAAAUAGAGUUUUGAUGGAAAUUACUUCUCUUUCAUUGUUUAUUUGUAUAGUUGUGAAAUUAAAGUUCUUUAAUUCUGCUGUUUAUUUGGUAGAAAUUAAAUAACGUAUAAGUUAGAAGUGUGAGAGAUAUGAGAGAUAUUAAUAUAUUUUUUUUUUCUCAUUUUCUUUCUUGGUAAUUGACUUCGGCCUAGGUUGGGCAUGGGCGAAAGUCAAUUA